UAAAAUUUUAAAUUUCAAAAAUUUAAAAUAUCAAAAUUUAAAUUUAAAAUUUAAAAUUAUAAACUUUAAUUUUGAGAUUAUAAAUUAUAAAUUUUAAAAAUUUAAAUUUUUAAAUUUUAACGGGAACAAUUAAUAAAAAUAAUUUAUUAUAAUAAAUUUAUAAAUUUUUUUAAAAUUCCACUUAAACUUAAAUUUAAUAAAAAGAAUUUAUUAUAAUAUUUAAAUAUAAUUUAUUAUAAAUUUUAUUAUAAUAUUUAAAUAUAAAUAAUAUGUAUUAAUAUAGUACAAUUAAUAAUUUUAUAAUAAAAAUAAUGUAUUAUAAUAUAUAACAUAUUAAUUAUAUUUAUAUAAUUUAGUUUGCUUAAUUUAUAAUUUUAAUUAAGUUUGAAAUUAAGCAUUGGAAUAGCAUUAUUCCACCAAAAUGGUGGAAUAGCAAAUUCCUUGCUAUUCCGGGAUAACCGGGAAUAGCAAGGUUUGACCGGGAUAAAAUAUCCCAGCCAAAUUUCACCCCGUUUAGCGGAAUAGCAGGGAUAACUUUCGUUAUCCCCACUUAUCCCCCGAACCAAACGGGGCCAUAGUGAAUAAUAAAUAUUUUUUUAUAAAAUUUAACUUUUAUACGGUGUUUCUAGAAAAGUUCGGAUGUUUUCAAAUAUAUCUCUCUGAUUUGGUACCGUUAGAGAACUGUUUAUAUUUUUAAUUUUGUCAUCAUAAAUAUAUCAUUCCAAAAGACAUAACAGUAUAAUAUAAGAGAAAUAAAAAUGUCAAAAAGUAACUAGAAUUAUAUAUUUAAUUUAUGAUUAACUAAAUUUUUCUAACGAAUUCUAACGUAAGGAUAUAUUUGAAAAUAUCGUGAUUUUUACAAUGACAGAAUAUGAAAGUUGAACUUUAUAGGGAUAUUUAUCAUUUACUAUAUUUGCAGGGAGCUAUAUGAAAUUAACCCUUUAGGAAUUGGAAUUGAUGGAUGAGAGCCUGUUUAGCUCGAGUUAUAUAGUAUUAUUGUUUAUUUCGAUGUAAUUAAUUAUCUGAAAUUUUUUGAAUUAGAUUAUUAUUGAAUUACUAUGUUUGGUUCGGUUUAUAAAAUUUAGGAAUCUUGACAGUAAUGUAUAAUCUAUUCCAAAAUUAUUCUUGUGGUCAUAUUUAUUUAUUUUUUACUAAACUACAACUUAAUAUAAUUUGUACUUAAAUUAAUUUUAUUAAUAAGCAAUAUAAAUAAAAAGACCACACAUUAAAAAAAAUUAUAAAGCCAAAAAUUAAUUUCAAUCCAUAUAAAAAUAAAAAUAAAUAAAAAAUACCAUAUUACAUAACCAUACAAUAAUUUAAGAAUAAUAAAUUUUAAUUUAAAAACUCAUUUAUAAGGAUUCAUGCGAACAGGAACAGAGAAAGAGAGGGAUAGAAAGUGAGAGAGAGAGAUAAACAUGACCUAUUAAAAAAGCUUGAAGGGUUGGAGGGUUAAAAUUAUAAUUUUACAUAACAUGGAGCGAUAAAAAUGAUAUAUUGAAAGGGUUUGGAAGGGUUAGAGGAGUAAAAUUAUAAUAUUACGUAACAUGCAAAAUUGUUCGCUAUCAGUAGUAUAAAAUACCCACCCACCGCUUGAUAAUAUUUUCGGGGCCCGUUUGGUUCGAGUUAUGUAAUAUUACAAAGUAUCUCGACAUAUCCAGGUAUCUUGGAUUUCGGCGUGAGAUUACUACUAAUGCUGCAUUAGAGCGUUUGGUUUAAUACAGUAAUGUAAUACUAGAUUACAGUGUUUAUAGCAUUAAUAUGUUUGGUUCAGUUUAUAAAAUUUAGGAAUCUUGACAGUAAUGUAUAAUCUAUUCCAAAAUUAUUCUUGUGGUCAUAUUUAUUUAUUUUUUACUAAACUACAACUUAAUAUAAUUUGUACUUAAAUUAAUUUUAUUAAUAAGCAAUAUAAAUAAAAAGACCACACAUUAAAAAAAAUUAUAAAGCCAAAAAUUAAUUUCAAUCCAUAUAAAAAUAAAAAUAAAUAAAAAAUACCAUAUUACAUAACCAUACAAUAAUUUAAGAAUAAUAAAUUUUAAUUUAAAAACUCAUUUAUAAGGAUUCAUGCGAACAGGAACAGAGAAAGAGAGGGAUAGAAAGUGAGAGAGAGAGAUAAACAUGACCUAUUAAAAAAGCUUGAAGGGUUGGAGGGUUAAAAUUAUAAUUUUACAUAACAUGGAGCGAUAAAAAUGAUAUAUUGAAAGGGUUUGGAAGGGUUAGAGGAGUAAAAUUAUAAUAUUACGUAACAUGCAAAAUUGUUCGCUAUCAGUAGUAUAAAAUACCCACCCACCGCUUGAUAAUAUUUUCGGGGCCCGUUUGGUUCGAGUUAUGUAAUAUUACAAAGUAUCUCGACAUAUCCAGGUAUCUUGGAUUUCGGCGUGAGAUUACUACUAAUGCUGCAUUAGAGCGUUUGGUUUAAUACAGUAAUGUAAUACUAGAUUACAGUGUUUAUAGCAUUAAUAUGUUUGGUUCAGUUUAUAAAAUUUAGUAAUCCUGACAUAAAAGUAUAGUUUUUUUCAAAAUUGCCCUUGUUGUGGUCAUUUGAAUAUUAUUUUUUGCGGAAAUGACGAAUGGAGGGAAGGAGAUCGUGAUGAUUAUUUGGGAGGACGACGCAAUAAAAGAUGAUAGGUGUUCGUGCGAGAGAGAGAGAGAGAGAGAGAGAGAGAGAGAGAGACGUCCAGAUAGAAAGAGCGAGAGAAAGCGGCGUGCGAGAGAGAGGGCCGGAGGGAAGGCGAGAUAGAGAUGAAAAUAAUGCUGUUAAUUAGAUUUGGGGUUGUUGGAGGGUAAAAUUGUCAUUUUACAUAAUAUGUAGUAUUAACGGGUUUCAGUAAUGCAAGAUACACGACCCCCCUCCCGUUAAUAUUUUCGAUGUAAUCCUGCUCGAUUUGUAAUCCUACAUUAACGACUAGAUUACAUAGUGGAUUAACCAAACAUAGUUAUCCUGGCAGGAUUGCCUGUAAUCCUGCCAGGAUAACUUGAACCAAACGCACCCUCGGAGUAAUCUUGCACAAUUUGUAAUAUUAUACCAACCAGAUUACAGACCGAAUAUAUAGAGUAAUCUUGUAUCAUUUGUCAUGUUAUAUUACUAACCAAAUUGUAGACCGGACAAACC
rnacentral:lncRNA from 1 species